GACGAACGCUGGCGGCGUGCCUAAUACAUGCAAGUUGAGCGAUGAAGAUUGGUGCUUGCACCAAUUUGAAGAGCAGCGAACGGGUGAGUAACGCGUGGGGAAUCUGCCUUUGAGCGGGGGACAACAUUUGGAAACGAAUGCUAAUACCGCAUAACAACUUUAAACAUAAGUUUUAAGUUUGAAAGAUGCAAUUGCAUCACUCAAAGAUGAUCCCGCGUUGUAUUAGCUAGUUGGUGAGGUAAAGGCUCACCAAGGCGAUGAUACAUAGCCGACCUGAGAGGGUGAUCGGCCACAUUGGGACUGAGACACGGCCCAAACUCCUACGGGAGGCAGCAGUAGGGAAUCUUCGGCAAUGGACGAAAGUCUGACCGAGCAACGCCGCGUGAGUGAAGAAGGGUUUCGGAUCGUAAAACUCUGUUGGUAGAGAAGAACGUUGGUGGGAGUGGAAAGCUCAUCAAGUGACGGUAACUACCCAGAAAGGGACGGCUAACUACGUG
rnacentral:rRNA from 1 species